AAUGUUUGAACUCCUAGAGUAGAAAUUCAAAGCCAGCCAUCUGAGAAGCAACAGCUUGACUAUUAGAAGAAGCAACUGAUUGAAAUCUGUAUUAACAAUAUUAUACUUUGCCAUGUUGAUGUUUUUUAAGUGCCUAGAAUGGUGCCUGGCACACAAUAAGCACUCAAAGAAUAAUCAGUGGAAAGCGGAAUAAAUAAGUAUUAUCAGAAAGAUAGGCUUAUUCCUCCUGAGUCAUUUUAUGCCCAGUAAGCAAGUCAGAGAUUUACUACAUUUGGAAACAUCUUGCUGUAUAAAAAUAAAGAAGUCUCUGACAGGAUUUUAGGUACUAACAAGUAAGUGGAGAAGUUUUGGGGACACAGAUGUGCAAAGAACUUUUAACCAAAAAAGCACAUCUGUGUGUGUCCUUCUCUAUACCCCCCAAUAAGAUGAAUCAGCUUUGCCA
rnacentral:lncRNA from 1 species